AUUGAAACACCAAUUCUCAUACGAUCAACGAAGUUAAGCCAUAUCGAGCCUCGUCAGUACCUUGAUGGGCGACCAGUUGGAAAUACCAGGUGCUGUAAG